rnacentral:rRNA from 1 species
AUUGAACGCUGGCGGCAGGCUUAACACAUGCAAGUCGAACGAUGAAACUCUAGCUUGCUAGAGAAGAUUAGUGGCGGACGGGUGAGUAACAUUUAGGAAUCUGCCUAGUAGUGGGGGAUAGCUCGGGGAAACUCGAAUUAAUACCGCAUACGACCUACGGGUGAAAGGGGGCGCAAGCUCUUGCUAUUAGAUGAGCCUAAAUCAGAUUAGCUAGUUGGUGGGGUAAAGGCCCACCAAGGCGACGAUCUGUAACUGGUCUGAGAGGAUGAUCAGUCACACCGGAACUGAGACACGGUCCGGACUCCUACGGGAGGCAGCAGUGGGGAAUAUUGGACAAUGGGGGCAACCCUGAUCCAGCCAUGCCGCGUGUGUGAAGAAGGCCUUUUGGUUGUAAAGCACUUUAAGCAGGGAGGAGAGGCUAAUGGUUAAUACCCAUUAGAUUAGACGUUACCUGCAGAAUAAGCACCGGCUAACUCUGUGCCAGCAGCCGCGGUAAUACAGAGGGUGCGAGCGUUAAUCGGAAUUACUGGGCGUAAAGCGAGUGUAGGUGGCUCAUUAAGUCACAUGUGAAAUCCCCGGGCUUAACCUGGGAACUGCAUGUGAUACUGGUGGUGCUAGAAUAUGUGAGAGGGAAGUAGAAUUCCAGGUGUAGCGGUGAAAUGCGUAGAGAUCUGGAGGAAUACCGAUGGCGAAGGCAGCUUCCUGGCAUAAUAUUGACACUGAGAUUCGAAAGCGUGGGUAGCAAACAGGAUUAGAUACCCUGGUAGUCCACGCCGUAAACGAUGUCUACUAGCCGUUGGGGUCCUUGAGACUUUAGUGGCGCAGUUAACGCGAUAAGUAGACCGCCUGGGGAGUACGGCCGCGAGGUUAAAACUCAAAUGAAUUGACGGGGGCCCGCACAAGCGGUGGAGCAUGUGGUUUAAUUCGAUGCAACGCGAAGAACCUUACCUGGUCUUGACAUAGUGAGAAUCCUGCAGAGAUGCGGGAGUGCCUUCGGGAACUCACAUACAGGUGCUGCAUGGCUGUCGUCAGCUCGUGUCGUGAGAUGUUGGGUUAAGUCCCGCAACGAGCGCAACCCUUUUCCUUAUUUGCCAGCGGGUUAAGCCGGGAACUUUAAGGAUACUGCCAGUGACAAACUGGAGGAAGGCGGGGACGACGUCAAGUCAUCAUGGCCCUUACGACCAGGGCUACACACGUGCUACAAUGGUAGGUACAGAGGGUUGCUACACAGCGAUGUGAUGCUAAUCUCAAAAAGCCUAUCGUAGUCCGGAUUGGAGUCUGCAACUCGACUCCAUGAAGUCGGAAUCGCUAGUAAUCGCAGAUCAGAAUGCUGCGGUGAAUACGUUCCCGGGCCU